UCCAAAAGAAGCCGGAUUCAGAGGAACCGCCGGCCGAACCUUCAGCUAGAGACACCAAAGAGCAGACGGAGGAGACUUCAGAAACCCCGUCCUCAGACGUGUCCACCGUCACCUCCAACCCCGCAAGCUCAAAUCACACAGAAACCCAUACUGAGAGUUCGGGCAUCGGGACAGAGAAAUCGUCCAGUCCUGAGAGCGACUCGAACCCGCUCAGCUCCAGCAGCUCCAAUGAACAGGUCGUGCCAAACCUCCUGAAGGAAGCUUCAUCUGAAGGGUUGGACGAAUCGCAGACACCAUGUCCGGAUGUUCAGUGUCCAGAUCGAACGCCGCCUCCCGAUUCCUCCAGCGACAAGGAGGA